rnacentral:rRNA from 1 species
UAUCAACUUUCGAUGGUAGGAUAGAGGCCUACCAUGGUGGUAACGGGUAACGGGGUGUUAGGGCACGACACCGGAGAGGGAGCCUGAGAAACGGCUACCACAUCCAAGGAUGGCAGCAGGCGCGCAAAUUACCCAAUCCCGACACGGGGAGGUAGUGACAAUAAAUAACAAUACGGGGUUCUUUCGGAUUUCGUAAUUGGAAUGAGUACAAUUUAAAUCUCUUAACGAGGAACAAUUGGAGGGCAAGUCUGGUGCCAGCAGCCGCGGUAAUUCCAGCUCCAAUAGCGUAUAUUAAAGUUGUUGCAGUUAAAAAGUUCGUAGUUGAAUUUCGGGGUCGGUAGGUUGGUCAUGCCACAGGUAUGUACUGAUCUUACUGAUUCCUCCUUCCUGAUGAACCGUAAUGCCAUUAAUUUGGUGUUGCGGGGAAACUGGACUGUUACUUUGAAAAAAUUAGAGUGUUUAAAGCAGGCUAACGCUUGAAUACAUUAGCAUGGAAUAAUGAAAUAGGACGUUCGAUCCUAUUUUGUUGGUUUCUAGGAUUGACGUAAUGAUUAAUAGGGAUAGUUGGGGGCAUUAGUAUUCAAUUGUCAGAGGUGAAAUUCUUGGACUUAUUGAAGACUAACUACUGCGAAAGCAUUUGCCAAGGAUGUUUUCAUUAAUCAAGAACGAAAGUUAGGGGAUCGAAGACGAUCAGAUACCGUCGUAGUCUUAACCAUAAACUAUGCCGACUAGGGAUCGGAUGAUGUUAAUUUUUUAAUGACUCAUUCGGCGCCUUACGGGAAACCAAAGUGUUUGGGUUC